rnacentral:misc_RNA from 1 species
UACGUAGGGGGCAAGCGUUGUCCGGAAUCAUUGGGUUUAAAGGGUCCGUAGGCGGGAUAAUAAGUCAGUGGUGAAAGUCUGCAGCUUAACUGUAGAACUGCCAUUGAUACUGUUGUCCUUGAGUAAUUAUGAAGUGGUUAGAAUGAGUAGUGUAGCGGUGAAAUGCAUAGAUAUUACAUAGAAUACCGAUUGCGAAGGCAGAUCACUAAUAAUGUACUGACGCUGAGGGACGAAAGCGUAGGUAGCAAACAGG